rnacentral:tRNA from 1 species
GCGCUCGUGCUGUAGUAGUUAGCAGUCUCGACCCGUAACCGGGAGGUCCGUGGUUCGAUUCCCGGCAAAGGCG